rnacentral:rRNA from 1 species
GACGAACCGUCCAAACGUUAUUCGGAAUCACUGGGCUUACAGAGUUCGUAGGCGGUCUGGAAAGUUGGGUGUGAAAUCCCUCGGCUCAACCGAGGAACUGCGCUUGAAACUACCAGACUCGAGGGAGAUAGAGGAAAGCGGAACUGAUGGUGGAGCGGUGAAAUGCGUUGAUAUCAUCAGGAACACCGGUGGCGAAGGCGGCUUCUGGGUCUUACCUGACGCUGAGGAACGAAAGCUAGGGGAGCGAACGGGG